rnacentral:rRNA from 1 species
AUACGGAGGGGGCUAGCGUUGUUCGGAAUUACUGGGCGUAAAGCGCACGUAGGCGGAUUGGAAAGUUGGGGGUGAAAGCCCGAGGCUCAACCUCGGAAUUGCCUUCAAAACUACCAGUCUAGAGUCCGGGAGAGGUGAGUGGAAUUCCUAGUGUAGAGGUGAAAUUCGUAGAUAUCAGGAGGAACACCAGUGGCGAAGGCGGCUCACUGGCCCGGUACUGACGCUGAGGUGCGAAAGCGUGGGGAGCAAACAGGAUUAGAUACCCUAGUAGUCC